rnacentral:rRNA from 1 species
GACGAACGCUGGCGGCGUGCCUAAUACAUGCAAGUAGGACGCAGUUGCGAACGUGUGAGUCACGCGUAGGUAACUACCUAUUAGAGGGGGAUAACUAUUGGAAACGAUAGCUAAUACCGCAUACUAGUAGAUGGACCUGCGUUGUAUUAGCUAGUAGGUCGGGUAAUGGGCUACCUAGGGAACGUUACAUAGCCGACCUGGGAGGGUGAAUCGCCACACCUGGAAUGGGACACGGCCCAAGAGCCUACGGGGGGGAGCAGUAGGGGAUCUUCGGCAAUGGGGGGAACCCCGACCGCGCAACGCCGGGGUAGGUAAGAAGGGUCUCGGAUCGUAAAGCUCCGUUGUUAAGGAAGCGGUACUUAACCAGAAAGGGACGGCUAACUACGUGCCAGCCGCCGCGGUAAUUC